GUAAAUAUAGUUUAAACAAAACAUUAGAUUGUGAAUCUAAAAAUAGAAGAUCAAAUCUCCUUACUUACC
rnacentral:tRNA from 1 species